rnacentral:rRNA from 1 species
UAGGGAAUCUUCGGCAAUGGACGAAAGUCUGACCGAGCAACGCCGCGUGAGUGAAGAAGGUUUUCGGAUCGUAAAACUCUGUUGUUAGAGAAGAACAAGGACGUUAGUAACUGAACGUCCCCUGACGGUAUCUAACCAGAAAGCCACGGCUAACUACGUGCCAGCAGCCGCGGUAAUACGUAGGUGGCAAGCGUUGUCCGGAUUUAUUGGGCGUAAAGCGAGCGCAGGCGGUUUCUUAAGUCUGAUGUGAAAGCCCCCGGCUCAACCGGGGAGGGUCAUUGGAAACUGGGAGGCUUGAGUGCAGAAGAGGAGAGUUGAAUUCCAUGUGUAGCGAUGAAAUGCGUAGAUAUAUGGAGGAACACCAGUGACGAAGGCGUCUCUCUGGUCUGUAACUGACGCUGAGGCUCGAAAGCGUGGGGAGCAAACAGG